rnacentral:rRNA from 1 species
CCCGCACAAGCGGUGGAGCAUGUGGUUUAAUUCGAUGCAACGCGAAGAACCUUACCUACUCUUGACAUCCACGGAACUUAGCAGAGAUGCUUUGGUGCCUUCGGGAACCGUGAGACAGGUGCUGCAUGGCUGUCGUCAGCUCGUGUUGUGAAAUGUUGGGUUAAGUCCCGCAACGAGCGCAACCCUUAUCCUUUGUUGCCAGCGGUCCGGCCGGGAACUCAAAGGAGACUGCCAGUGAUAAACUGGAGGAAGGUGGGGAUGACGUCAAGUCAUCAUGGCCCUUACGAGUAGGGCUACACACGUGCUACAAUGGCGCAUACAAAGAGAAGCGAACUCGCGAGAGCAAG